UCUUGGUCAACUGCUUCUGUGACUCGUGUUUUGUACAGUGGCUGAGGAGCGAGGAGGCCGCAGGAACCUGCCCUGGCCAGAGAGCGCAGCUGAGAUCAGUGCAAAGAACCAUCUUGCACUUACAUCUCCUGUGGGCUGAUGCCAAACUCGGAGCCGCGUCAUCUGUCAGAGCAAUUUGUUCUUAAGGAGGAAAGGAGGAGAAGUUGUUUUCCUGAAGGAGCGGGCUGGCUGUGACCGCAGGAGCGUGCGGAAGCUUGUGGAACACGGGAAUGGGAUUUAUCCUGGUGUGAUCCUCCUUCCAGCAAGGAGUUCGCACCAGGAGCGUGCAGGGACCGUGAUACAAUGUGAAGCAGGAGGUAUUAAACAGGGCUGUGCACGGGCAGCAUAAGUUAUCCCGGCAAUGCCUUAACCUGUGUAUUUUAAUACACGUCUAACAGCGAUCCUGAAAAGAAACAGAGGGACGUGGCUGUCGUGAUGAUGGAAAUAAAGCUCCGUGCUUUAUAUUUGAUUGGUGCUUCACUGUUGAAUCCUGUCUGUGUAAAACCAAACCAGCGUUCUGUUGGGAGGCAGAGGACGCUUCUCUCUCUAUUCAAUCCUAAGGCAGAUUUUGCAGUUCCCAGCCACGAGAGUGGGGGUCUGACCUGGCGGAGCUGUGGCAGAGUUUACUUGGCCUUCCUAGAGCCCUCAAAAAGAACCUGGGGGAAGGAAGAAGAAGGAAAAAAAGCCAUCUAGUUUUAUUAUUUCCACAACCUCAUUUUUCAGCCAGUCAGCACAAUUCAUGGUGUGCCUCUGCCAAGAAAAACACACGGUGGUUCUGGCUGGGGGCUCGCCUGUGAUUUCCAUGGGAGCGGGGGGUCUGCAGGGGGCUGCGUGGGGCUCAGCUCAGCGCUUUUGUUCAGCUGCCCCCAAAUGUGUCCUGCCCUCGCAGAGGGACAGUCCUGCUGGGGCACCGGCCACGCUGGGGUUUCUGCAAGUUACUGCAGGAAUCUGCAGUAGCCACCCUGCCUUACAAUGUUCACUUUAAACGUUCACAAUGUUCACAUUUCUUCUUCAGCGUAAAAGAGAUCUGUUUCCCUUCCCACAUUAGACCAUCCGAAAAACUAAUGGAGAAAGCUGUCUGUGCACAGAAAGUGCAGAAAACGAUUGUGCGAAGCAUCGGGAAGCAACAGGAAAAGCUGCUGGAGGAAAAUGGAAGAGUGGCUGUGAGUCUUGCCAGGGGGUGAGACCAAUAUGUUGCAGCACAGACAAGAGCGCAUUGUGAAAAUCUGUGACUUGCAAGAGCUGGGACGGAUAGAUCUGAAGCUAAUCCGCAGCAUCCGUGCUGGCAGAGAGGUGGCUGCGCUGUGGGAUGUGUCUGUGUCCUUUGCAAGGG